UGGAAACAUGAAGGGUGCAUGGUGGAUGCCUUGGCGUAUACAUGCGAUGAAGGACGUGACUAGUCUGCGAAAUGCUUCGGGGAGGUGGCUUGUAACCUUUGAUCCGGAGGUGUCCGAAUGGGGAAACCCGGUCAGCAAUGAUCAUCGUAUCCAUAUGUGAUACGAAGCGAACCUUGGGAAGUGAAACAUCUCAGUACCAAGAGGAACAGAAAACAACAGCGAGUUGCUUUCUGUCUGCUCGAUGCUUCGAGCGGAUGGAAAGCAGCUCUCGUGAUUCCCUGAGUAGCGGCGAGCGAAACGGGAAAAGCCCAAACCGAAUACUUGUAUUCGGGGUAGUAGGGCAGGAGCUCCGUACUUGUACGGCAAAAGUUACAAAAGAUGCGUAUAACGGAAGCUGCUGGGAAGCAGCGCCCUAGAGGGUAAUGGCCCCGUACGUGAAAUGUGCAUCUCUUUUGUGCUCCUGUACCUGAGUAGGUCGAGACACGAAUAGCUCGGCUGAAUCUGCCGGAACUAACCGGUAAGGCUAAAUACUGUAUACGACCGAUAGUGAACUAGUACCGUGAGGGAAAGGUGAAAAGAACCCCGAGAGGGGAGUGAAAUAGAACUGAAACCGUGCACUUACAAAGGGUUAUGGCGGGUUCCGAUCCGUUAUAGCGUGCCUAUUGAAGAAUGAGCCUGCGAGUGUAUGUAUGUUGCCUAUGGCUAAGCCCGUUACGGGGCGGAGCCGCAGGGAAACCGAGUGUGAAUAGCGCGUUAGUAGCAUACAUACGACCCGAAGCCAGGUGAGCUUGCCAUGGGCAGGGUGAAGUGUGACGAAAGUCACAUGGAGGCCCGAACCCAUAGAUCGUACAACGUCUUGGGAUGACCUGUGGCAAGGAGUGAAAAGCUAAUCGAACCUGGUAAUAGCUGGUUCUCUCCGAAAUAGCUUUUGGGCUAGCGUCGCGUGCUUCCUCCGGGGGUAGAGCACUGGAAGGGAUGAACAGGGAGAAAUCUCGUCAUUCCUAUCAACCUCCGAAUACCGGACGGUAUGAGCGCGGCAGUUAGACGGUGGGGGCGAAGCUCCACACGUCGAAGGGGGAAGAGCCCUUGAUCGCCAGUUAAGGUCCCUAAAUUAACGCUAAGUACAACUUAAGGAAGUGAGGAUUCAUUGACAAUGAGGAUGUUGGCUUAGAAGCAGCCACCAUUUAAAGAAAGCGUAACAGCUCACUCAUCGAGAGUCCUUGCGCCGAAGAUAAUCGGGGUUAAGCGUUAUACCGAAACUGCGGGCUUGCAUCCUGCAUGGAGAACUUGAGACUUGUCUUGAGUUCUCCAUGCAGAGUGCAAGCGGUAGGAGAGCGUUCCGUUCUGCGAUGAAGCCUAACGGGUGACCGAGGGUGGAGCGUACGGAAGUGAGAAUGCAGGCACAAGUAACCACAAUGCGGGUGAGAACCCCGCACGUCGAAAGAACAAGGUUUCCUCAGCUAUGAUGAUCAACUGAGGGUUAGUCGGGCCUAAGGGGAUGGCGAAAGCCGCACCCGAUGGACACAGGGUUAAUAUUCCCUGACCGAUCAUAUGUGCGAUGGAGUGACGGAUUGCUGUAUCUACGGCCCAUUAUUGGAUUUGGGUCAGUGCCGUGAGGAGGUCUGGUAGGCAAAUCCGCCAGACACUACUCCGAGCGGAAAGGCAACAUCCUUCUUCGGAGGGGUGGAGCGUAGAGAGCGCGGUUCCAAGAAAAACUUCUAAGCUUCAGCAUAUGACGACCGUACCGGAAACCGACACAGGUGUUCAGGUCGAGUAGACUAAGACGAACGAGUGAGAGGUCCUCAAGGAACUCGGCAAAAAAGCGGCCGUAAGUUAGCGAUAAGGCCUGCCCUCUAGCAAUAGAGGGCCGCAGCGAAAGAUUUUCUGCCAACUGUUUACCAAAAACACAGCUCCCUGCGAACUCGUAAGAGGAUGUAUAGGGGGUGACGCCUGACCGAUGCCGGAAGGUCAAGCAGGGGAGGUGCAUUGUCCUCGGAUGAUGUGCUGGACCCUAUAAGCCCCGGUGAAUGUCGGCGAUAACUAUAAUCGUCCUAAGGUUCUGCAUUCGAUUCGUCGAAUGCAGAACGGAUUGGGGCGGUUAUAGGAGACCGUAAACAGUGUUGAGAGACUUACGUCAUUAAAAGCUACCUCUUUCUUCGGAAACGAAGAUUGAAUCCGCGACUCAAAUGAGAGGCCAUACGUCGCGCUCCCGAAAGGGAUGAAGAUAUGGUCCUACGUUAAAGGAAUAGUAGAGCGUAAUUCCUUGUCUGGUAAGUUCAGACGUGCACGAAUGGCGUAAUGAGUGGAAAACUGUCUCGAGGACUCGCUCGGUGAAAAUGCAAUACCGGUGAAGAUGCCGGUUACCCGUAGUUAGACGAAAAGACCCCAGGAGCUUUACUACAGCUUGAUAUUGGGGCUGCGUGAUCCCUGCGUAGCAUAGGUGGGAGACUUUGAAGCAUAGGUUUCGGCUUAUGUGGAGUCGCCAGUGAAAUACCACUCUUGGAUUGUGCAGUCUCUAACCCGGAUAAGAACUAUUCGGGAACAGUGUCUGGCGGGUAGUUUUGGUGGGGCGCUAUCCUCCUAAAAAGUAACGGAGGAGUCUAUUAAGGUUCUCUAGGCGCGAAUGGAAACCGUGCCGAUAGUGUAAUGGCAUAAGAGAGCUUAACUGCAAGAGGUACAUCUCGCGCAGAUGCGAAAGCAGAGCAUAGUGAUCCGAUGGUUCGCCUUAGAUGCGGCCAGAGCUCAACGGAUAAAAGUUACCCUGGGGAUAACAGGCUAGUUCCGCCCAAGCGUCCAUAGCGACGGCGGAGUUCGGCACCUCGAUGUCGGCUCACCUUAGCGCGGGGCUGGAGAAGGUCCCAAG
rnacentral:rRNA from 1 species